rnacentral:rRNA from 2 species
UGGGGAAUAUUGCACAAUGGGGGAAACCCUGAUGCAGCGACGCCGCGUGAGCGAAGAAGUAUUUCGGUAUGUAAAGCUCUAUCAGCAGGGAAGAAAAAUGACGGUACCUGAGUAAGAAGCACCGGCUAAAUACGUGCCAGCAGCCGCGGUAAUACGUAUGGUGCAAGCGUUAUCCGGAUUUACUGGGUGUAAAGGGAGCGCAGGCGGUGCGGCAAGUCUGAUGUGAAAGCCCGGGGCUCAACCCCGGGACUGCAUUGGAAACUACCGAACUAGAGUGUCGGAGAGGUAAGUGGAAUUCCUAGUGUAGCGGUGAAAUGCGUAGAUAUUAGGAGGAACACCAGUGGCGAAGGCGGCUUACUGGACGAUAACUGACGCUGAGGCUCGAAAGCGUGGGGAGCAAACAGG